GUUCAGGUUGCUCUUAAUUCAAAUGCUACUAUUUCAGAUGACUGUCAUUAUUGUCUAUCUUUUCUUAUGAAAGUUAUUUUCAUAAGCCUUUUGGCCAAGUAUGGUUAUAAUUUUUCUAUAAAAAAAUUUACUGUGAUAUCAUUAUGAAUGGUGUCAUAAUUAUACGUGGAUAAUUAAAAAAUAAUAUUUACACAUUGUCACAGCUUGUUAGUAUAAUGUAUACAUCAAACAAAUAUUCUAGAAUAGAUAAUGCCAC
rnacentral:lncRNA from 1 species